rnacentral:rRNA from 1 species
GACGAACGCUGGCGGCGUGCCUAAUACAUGCAAGUCGAGCGAGCGGCGGACGGGUAAGUAAUGUAUGGGGACUGCCCGAUAGAGGGGGAUAACUACUGGAAACGGUAGCUAAUACCGCAUACUAUCGGAUAACCCAUAUGGGAUUAGCUAGUAGGUGAGGUAAUGGCUCACCUAGGCGACGAUCCCUAGCUGGUCUGAGAGGACGAUCAUCCACACUGGGACGGAGACACGGCACAGACUCCUACGGAGGCAGCAGUGGGGAAUAUUGCACAAGGGGCGCAAGCCUGAUGCAGCCAUGCCGCGUGUAUGAAGAAGGCCCUAGGGUUGUAAAGUACUUUCAGUCGGGAUGCGUUACCGACAGAAGAAGCACCGGCUAACUCCGUGCCAGCAGCCGCGGUAAUUC